AACCAGUCCUCAUGGCCCACCAACAGUUCAGGAUCUCUGUAUUUCCCUGUUUUAUUCCAAUGGAGAUACUAAAAAAAAAAAAAACCUGGACUGUUGGUGGGUCUUGAGGACUGGUUUG